AUUGAACGCUGGCGGUAUGCCUUACACAUGCAAGUCGAACGGUAGAGGGGCAACCCUUGAGAGUGGCGAACGGGUGAGUAAUACAUCGGAACGUGCCCAGUCGUGGGGGAUAACGUAGCGAAAGCUACGCUAAUACCGCAUACGACCUGAGGGUGAAAGCGGGGGAUCGCCAGACCUCGCGCGAUUGGAGCGGCCGAUGGCAGAUUAGGUAGUGGGUGGGGUAAAGGCCUACCAAGCCUGCGAUCUGUAGCUGGUCUGAGAGGACGACCAGCCAAACUGGGAAUGAGACACGGCCCAGACUCCUACGGGAGGCAGCAGUGGGGAAUUUUGGACAAUGGGCGAAAGCCUGGUCCAGCCAUCCCGCGUGCGGGAAGAAGGCCUUCGGGUUGUAAACCGCUUUUGUCAGGGAAGAAAUCUUCUGGGUUAAUACCUCGGGAGGAUGACGGUACCUGAAGAAUAAGCACCGGCUAACUACGUGCCAGCAGCCGCCGUAA
rnacentral:rRNA from 1 species